AGUGAACGCUGGCGGCAGGCCUAACACAUGCAAGUCGAGCGGCAGCGCGGGGGCAACCCUGGCGGCGAGCGGCGGACGGGUGAGGAAUUCGUCGGAAUCUGCCUUUUUGUGGGGGAUAACGUAGGGAAACUUACGCUAAUACCGCAUACGACCUACGGGUGAAAGUGGGGGACCGCAAGGCCUCACGCAGAAAGAUGAGCCGACGACCGAUUAGCUAGUUGGUGAGGUAAAGGCCCACCAAGGCGACGAUCGGUAGCUGGUCUGAGAGGAUGAUCAGCCACACUGGGACUGAGACACGGCCCAGACUCCUACGGGAGGCAGCAGUGGGGAAUAUUGGACAAUGGGCGCAAGCCUGAUCCAGCCAUGCCGCGUGUGUGAAGAAGGCCUUCGGGUUGUAAAGCACUUUUGUCCGGAAAGAAAUCUUCCAACUUAAUACGUUGGGAGGAUGACGGUACCGGAAGAAUAAGCACCGGCUAACUUCGUGCCAGCCGCCGCCGUAA
rnacentral:rRNA from 1 species